GGUUAAGCGACUAAGCGUACACGGUGGAUGCCCUGGCAGUCAGAGGCGAUGAAGGGCGUGCUAAUCUGCGAUAAGCGCCGGUAAGGUGAUAUGAACCGUUAUAACCGGCGAUACCCGAAUGGGGAAACCCAGUGUGACUCGUCACACUAUCAUUAACUGAAUCCAUAGGUUAAUGAGGCGAACCGGGGGAACUGAAACAUCUAAGUACCCCGAGGAAAAGAAAUCAACCGAGAUUCCCCCAGUAGCGGCGAGCGAACGGGGAGGAGCCCAGAGCCUGAAUCAGCAUGUGUGUUAGUGGAAGCGUCUGGAAAGGCGCGCGAUACAGGGUGACAGCCCCGUACACAAAAGCGCAUGUGCUGUGAGCUCGAUGAGUAGGGCGGGACACGUGGUAUCCUGUCUGAAUAUGGGGGGACCAUCCUCCAAGGCUAAAUACUCCUGACUGACCGAUAGUGAACCAGUACCGUGAGGGAAAGGCGAAAAGAACCCCGGCGAGGGGAGUGAAAAAGAACCUGAAACCGUGUACGUACAAGCAGUGGGAGCACAGGUUUACCUGUGUGACUGCGUACCUUUUGUAUAAUGGGUCAGCGACUUAUAUUCUGUAGCAAGGUUAACCGUAUAGGGGAGCCGCAGGGAAACCGAGUCUUAAUUGGGCGUUAAGUUGCAGGGUAUAGACCCGAAACCCGGUGAUCUAGCCAUGGGCAGGUUGAAGGUUGGGUAACACUAACUGGAGGACCGAACCGACUAAUGUUGAAAAAUUAGCGGAUGACCUGUGGCUGGGGGUGAAAGGCCAAUCAAACCGGGAGAUAGCUGGUUCUCCCCGAAAGCUAUUUAGGUAGCGCCUCGUGAACUCAUCUCCGGGGGUAGAGCACUGUUUCGGCUAGGGGGCCAUCCCGGCUUACCAACCCGAUGCAAACUGCGAAUACCGGAGAAUGUUAUCACGGGAGACACACGGCGGGUGCUAACGUCCGUCGUGAAGAGGGAAACAACCCAGACCGCCAGCUAAGGUCCCAAAGUCAUGGUUAAGUGGGAAACGAUGUGGGAAGGCCCAGACAGCCAGGAUGUUGGCUUAGAAGCAGCCAUCAUUUAAAGAAAGCGUAAUAGCUCACUGGUCGAGUCGGCCUGCGCGGAAGAUGUAACGGGGCUAAACCAUGCACCGAAGCUGCGGCAGCGACACUGUGUGUUGUUGGGUAGGGGAGCGUUCUGUAAGCCUGUGAAGGUGGCCUGUGAGGGUUGCUGGAGGUAUCAGAAGUGCGAAUGCUGACAUAAGUAACGAUAAAGCGGGUGAAAAGCCCGCUCGCCGGAAGACCAAGGGUUCCUGUCCAACGUUAAUCGGGGCAGGGUGAGUCGACCCCUAAGGCGAGGCCGAAAGGCGUAGUCGAUGGGAAACGGGUUAAUAUUCCCGUACUUGGUGUUACUGCGAAGGGGGGACGGAGAAGGCUAUGUUGGCCGGGCGACGGUUGUCCCGGUUUAAGCGUGUAGGCUGGUUUUCCAGGCAAAUCCGGAAAAUCAAGGCUGAGGCGUGAUGACGAGGCACUACGGUGCUGAAGCAACAAAUGCCCUGCUUCCAGGAAAAGCCUCUAAGCAUCAGGUAACAUCAAAUCGUACCCCAAACCGACACAGGUGGUCAGGUAGAGAAUACCAAGGCGCUUGAGAGAACUCGGGUGAAGGAACUAGGCAAAAUGGUGCCGUAACUUCGGGAGAAGGCACGCUGACACGUAGGUGAAGUGAUUUACUCAUGGAGCUGAAGUCAGUCGAAGAUACCAGCUGGCUGCAACUGUUUAUUAAAAACACAGCACUGUGCAAACACGAAAGUGGACGUAUACGGUGUGACGCCUGCCCGGUGCCGGAAGGUUAAUUGAUGGGGUCAGCGCAAGCGAAGCUCCUGAUCGAAGCCCCGGUAAACGGCGGCCGUAACUAUAACGGUCCUAAGGUAGCGAAAUUCCUUGUCGGGUAAGUUCCGACCUGCACGAAUGGCGUAAUGAUGGCCAGGCUGUCUCCACCCGAGACUCAGUGAAAUUGAACUCGCUGUGAAGAUGCAGUGUACCCGCGGCAAGACGGAAAGACCCCGUGAACCUUUACUAUAGCUUGACACUGAACAUUGAGCCUUGAUGUGUAGGAUAGGUGGGAGGCUUUGAAGCGUGGACGCCAGUCUGCAUGGAGCCGACCUUGAAAUACCACCCUUUAAUGUUUGAUGUUCUAACGUGGACCCGUGAUCCGGGUUGCGGACAGUGUCUGGUGGGUAGUUUGACUGGGGCGGUCUCCUCCUAAAGAGUAACGGAGGAGCACGAAGGUUGGCUAAUCCUGGUCGGACAUCAGGAGGUUAGUGCAAUGGCAUAAGCCAGCUUGACUGCGAGCGUGACGGCGCGAGCAGGUGCGAAAGCAGGUCAUAGUGAUCCGGUGGUUCUGAAUGGAAGGGCCAUCGCUCAACGGAUAAAAGGUACUCCGGGGAUAACAGGCUGAUACCGCCCAAGAGUUCAUAUCGACGGCG
rnacentral:rRNA from 1 species